rnacentral:rRNA from 1 species
AUUGAACGCUGGCGGCAGGCUUAACACAUGCAAGUCGAGCGGGGUGAUGGUGCUUGCACUAUCACUUAGCGGCGGACGGGUGAGUAAUGCUUAGGAAUCUGCCUAUUAGUGGGGGACAACAUCUCGAAAGGGAUGCUAAUACCGCAUACGUCCUACGGGAGAAAGCAGGGGAUCACUUGUGACCUUGCGCUAAUAGAUGAGCCUAAGUCGGAUUAGCUAGUUGGUGGGGUAAAGGCCUACCAAGGCGACGAUCUGUAGCGGGUCUGAGAGGAUGAUCCGCCAGACUGGGACUGGGACACGGCCCAGACUCCUACGGGAGGCAGCAGCGGGGAAUAUUGGACAAUGGGGGGAACCCUGAUCCAGCCAUGCCGCGUGUGUGAAGAAGGCCUUAUGGUUGUAAAGUACUUUAAGCGGGGAGGAGGCUCUUUUGGUUAAUACCCAAGAUGAGUGGACGUUACUCGCAGAAUAAGCACCGGCUAACUCUGUGCCAGCCGCCGCAGUAA